CGUUGAACUCCUCCUUCAGCUGUUUUUUAUGCUUCUCCUCCAAAUAAAAUGUCUGAUCAUGGAUAGGGUGAAUAACUGAAGACACAGGAGCAUUGUUAAAAUGGCGAAAUUCUCUCCAAUGCCUCUGCAAGUAUUCUAUUAACUUGGGUACAUCUUGUCUGCGAAAGAUGUCCCAUACUGCACCCCCACAUUCAAUUUCUGCACAAUCUUGCUUGAUUUCGAGAGCUACAUCCGCUUCCACUAGUGCCAAGGCAUUGGUACUUGGGUUUAUCUCAUUGGGUAGAGAAGUUCUGCCAGAUAUAUCAGCGUAAUCCCUUUCGGAAAUUAUAUUUUCUCCUUUAUCAAUAUCUUUCCCCUUGUCCAUAGUUUCUGGCAAGCAACUUUUGUUAUCACCAGUGCUUUCCUGAGAAUAAAAGUUUAUAGUUUCAGUUUCGUCAGAUCUUUGAUGAGAAUCCGG
rnacentral:misc_RNA from 1 species